rnacentral:rRNA from 2 species
GGUGAGUAACACGUGAGUAACCUGCCCUUGACUCUGGGAUAAGCCCGGGAAACUGGGUCUAAUACCGGAUAGGAGCGCCUGUCGCAUGACGGGUGCUGGAAAGAUUUUUCGGUCAUGGAUGGACUCGCGGCCUAUCAGCUUGUUGGUGAGGUAAUGGCUCACCAAGGCGACGACGGGUAGCCGGCCUGAGAGGGUGACCGGCCACACUGGGACUGAGACACGGCCCAGACUCCUACGGGAGGCAGCAGUGGGGAAUAUUGCACAAUGGGCGGAAGCCUGAUGCAGCGACGCCGCGUGAGGGAUGACGGCCUUCGGGUUGUAAACCUCUUUCAGUAGGGAAGAAGCGAAAGUGACGGUACCUGCAGAAGAAGCACCGGCUAACUACGUGCCAGCAGCCGCGGUAAUACGUAGGGUGCGAGCGUUAUCCGGAAUUAUUGGGCGUAAAGAGCUCGUAGGCGGUUUGUCGCGUCUGUCGUGAAAGUCCGGGGCUUAACCCCGGAUCUGCGGUGGGUACGGGCAGACUAGAGUGCAGUAGGGGAGACUGGAAUUCCUGGUGUAGCGGUGGAAUGCGCAGAUAUCAGGAGGAACACCGAUGGCGAAGGCAGGUCUCUGGGCUGUAACUGACGCUGAGGAGCGAAAGCAUGGGGAGCGAACAGGAUUAGAUACCCUGGUAGUCCAUGCCGUAAACGUUGGGCACUAG